CAAAGAUUUGGUCCUAGUCUUACUAUCAUUUUCGACUAAACUUACACAUGCAAGUAUCCGUUUGGUCCUAGUCUUACUAUCAUUUUCGACUAAACUUACACAUGCAAGUAUCCGCACUCCGGUGAAAAUGCCCUUAAUCUUCCUAGAAGAAGACAAGGAGCAGGCAUCAGGCACGUAUUCACGGCCCAAAACGCCUUGCUUUGCCACACCCCCACGGGAUUUCAGCAGUGAUAAACAUUAGGCAAUCAGCGAAAGCUAGACCUAGUUAUUGUUAGUAUAGAGUCGGUAAAACUCGUGCCAGCCACCGCGGUUAUACGAGAGACUCAAAAUGAUAGUCCUUCGGCGUAGAGUGUGGUUAACGUAAAUUAAUAAACUAAGGAUAAAAUAUCUUAAAGCUGUCAUACGCUAAAAAAUAUAUGAAAACCAUUAACGAAAGUUACCUUAUAUAAGUGAACCCACGAAAACCAAGAUACAAACUGGGAUUAGAUACCCCACUAUGCUUGGAAUUAAACUAAGACGGUAUAAAUACCCAACCGUCCGCCCGGUUACUACGAGCGUAAGCUUAAAAACCAAAGGACUUGGCGGUGCUUCAGAACCACCUAGAGGAGCCUGUUCUAUAAUCGAUAAUCCUCGUUAAACCUCACCACAUCUUGCAUUCAGCCUAUAUACCGCCGUCGCCAGCCUACCUUCUGAGAGACCUAAAGUAGGCUAAAUAAGUAAAACUUAACACGUCAGGUCAAGGUGUAGCUUAUGGUGUGGGAAGAAAUGGGCUACAUUUUCUAGACUAGAACAUACGAACAACACUAUGAAACCUGUGUUUGAAGGAGGAUUUAGCAGUAAAGGGAGAAUAGAGCGCUCCUAUGAAGCCCGGCGCUGAAGCGCGCACACACCGCCCGUCACUCUCCUCGAAAUCAUUUAACAAAAUUUAUAAAAAACUAUAUACAGAAAGAGGAGGCAAGUCGUAACAUGGUAAGCGUACCAGAAGGUGUGCUUGGAAUAAU
rnacentral:ncRNA from 1 species